AUGAUCAACCUUCAUAUCUCUCACAAUCCUGAUCGUGCCUCCUCUUCUGCUUCUCUUUCGCCAUCUCUCCACAACGAAACGACUCACCGUCAAAGUUUGGCCCGGCAAUUUUGCGAAGAUUCCUCCUCCGAAGAUGAGGAACUCAUGAUGGCUGCAAUUGUAGCAGAGGAAGAAGAAGCCCGGCUGGAUGCUCCACGACAUGGAGGUUCACAACCGGGACGUCAAUCUCUUCAACGCGAUUUUGCGGAACGCUUUCAGAACCUCCACAAGGACUAUUUUGCAGAGAACCCCACCUUCAAGGCAAGGAUGUUUUGCAAUAGGUAUGAAACUGGUGCAUAUGUUUCUUUUUCACCAUAG
rnacentral:rRNA from 1 species